AACUAUUACGCUCAUCAAACUCAACUGUUACUGUGAUAGAAAUUAAGUACCAUGUUAAUUUACUUCCGAAACACAUUUCUUCACUUACUCUUGUUUGCAGUUUAUAAACCUGGAGAAUAUCACACACAAAUUUCCACAACACCACGAAGUUGCUGCUGACUACAAGGUACACGAAGGGUGACAGUAUCGCAGAACCAGUAGAUGCAUUCAAAACCAGCGUGAAUCUUGUCGCUCGUGUGGCCAACAGCAGAAUUUUACGUCUUUUUCAACGCAGUUGUGAGAGAAUCCUUACACAGUGGUUCAUUAAAUUUAUCAAGAGAGGAACUGGUGAAAACUAAGUACCUGCUCCUGAUGAACGAUUGCCACCUUGAAAAAGCCAUAAUGGUUUCCACUAAGAUUAGCCCACAAGAUACACACUACAAUGCAAGACUCAAGUCUUCUGUAGCAUCUGCUUCCCCAUCAACAUCACUUUGUUCACAACAGUCUAAAUGCAGUAACUGUAGCUAUGCUGCAAGUUUAUACAAAAGUGUUAUAAGUAACGGUAUUUUAUACAAUGACUCAAGAGCUCUGAAUUACACAGUUCUGUAAAGAAGUUUGGUGAAACUAUAUGGCUUGAGUAUUUAAAUACUGCCAUUGAGGUAAGUGCUUUUGUAUAUAGCUUUAUUUUGUGAUUUAGAAAAAAUAAUUUCUGUAUUUCUGCAUAGUGGCCAGGCAUUAAUGUCACUAGCAUUGCUCAGAAGAGAAGGUUGUUACAUAUUUUGCUACUACACCUUCUUUAUUUGUGAAUUAUUUUCAACAUUCUACAAGUACUGCUAGGACAUUUAUGCAUAUGGUAUUGAACAAUGAUGUAGUUGUUAAUCCUUGUAAAGUUUGGCGGUAUUAUUUGUCCUUGGUGCAUAGUGAACUACAUUGCAAGAUCUGAUUUAGGUGUGCAGUUUAUAAUUAAAAGGGUAACAUGAAACUUUUCUCAAACAAGUGAAAACAUUGGUCUGGACUAUGAGUUCAUUCCAGGUACCUCUCUGGUAUGGACAGAUCUUCUCCAAUUGUACCGUAUAAGUAGGGCCUUAGGAUUGAUUCAAAAUGUCAGCUUACUACAAAGACCUAUCCAUUCAUUUCCAACAAAUGCCUGAAUUGGAAAUGCACUGUUUACAAAAUGUGAUUCUGGUUCAGGUCUGCACUCUUUAGUAACUUGUAGCAAAUAUUUGUAUCAGUAUACACUUAGCAUCAAAUGCUGUUUCUAGACUAUCUGCUUAGGUCAUUAGCAAGUACUCUAACAUUUUAUUAGAGUUUAACAUAAAUUGUGUAUGUUGGCCUCUUUGCUCAUGGACCACUGAACCCAGUAAAAGGAAAAUAUAAGGAUCUUCUUAAUCCAUGAUUUUUAUUUGCCUUGUGCAUCGUAUUGCAGGUUCAUCACAUUGUUAAUGGGUGUGGUGUAAAGUCAUGCACCAAUUUUUACUUAAUUUAGAGGUUGUAUAAGUGCUAUUAUGGACUAUAAAAAAUACAUGGUAGUCACAGGUUGUGAGCUGACUACUUUCUGUAACUGUCCAUUCCAAUUUAUACAUCAUUCUUAAUCAAGAUUUGGAUUAACGUCAUACAUAGACGUGGAGUCAUCUAUCUUAUCCGUAAAACAAUUUAUAUGACUGGAUGCUAGCUUUUACAAGGAUGGUCAGUAAUCACUUACUUAGUAGUAAACACACUGUGAAAUGAGCAACACGUUCUAGUGAAAAGUAUGAACAUUUAAAACUUAAUGUCUUUGUGUACCUAGGGGAUAAAAACAUAGUGGUGCUGGCAAGCACAAAGAGUUCUUCUCGUGUGUAAUCGUAAAAUUUGUCAUUUUGUUGUACUUUGAAGCAAAAUAUUUGUGAAAUGU